rnacentral:rRNA from 1 species
UACGGGGGGGGCAAGCGUUGUUCGGAAUUACUGGGCGUAAAGGGUUUGUAGGUGGCUUGCUAAGUCUGAUGUGAAAGCCCACGGCUCAACCGUGGAGGGUCAUUGGAAACUGGGGGACUUGAGUGCAGAAGAGGAAAGCGGAAUUCCACGUGUAGCGGUGAAAUGCGUAGAGAUGUGGAGGAACACCCGUGGCGAAGGCGGCUCUCUGGGACGGUACUGACGCUGAGACGCGAAAGCGUGGGGAGCAAACAGG